rnacentral:tRNA from 1 species
GCCUGGGUGGCUCAGUCGGUUGAGCAUCUGACUUCGGCUCAGAUCAUGAUCUCAUAGUUUGUGUGUUCGAGCCCCGCGUCGGGCU